rnacentral:rRNA from 1 species
GGUCCAGACUCCUACGGGAGGCAGCAGUGAGGAAUAUUGGUCAAUGGCCGAGAGGCUGAACCAGCCAAGUCGCGUGAGGGAAGACGGCCCUACGGGCUGUAAACCUCUUUUGUCGGGGAGCAAAGCGAGUCACGUGUGACUCAUUGAGAGUACCCGAAGAAAAAGCAUCGGCUAACUCCGUGCCAGCAGCCGCGGUAAUACGGAGGAUGCGAGCGUUAUCCGGAUUUAUUGGGUUUAAAGGGUGCGCAGGCGGAGGUGCAAGUCAGCGGUCAAAUGGCGGGGCUCAACCCCGUCGAGCCGUUGAAACUGGCAGACUUGAGUUGGCGAGAAGUACGCGGAAUGCGCGGUGUAGCGGUGAAAUGCAUAGAUAUUGCGCAGAACUCCAAUUGCGAAGGCAGCGUACCGGCGCCAGACUGACGCUGAGGCACGAAAGCGUGGGGAUCGAACAGGAUUAGAUACCCGUGUA